AUUGGGAUUUUAUUGUUGUCGUUGAUCUUUGGUCUCCAACAUAACGAUGCAAGUUUUAAUACUCAAUAAGUGUACCCAGGCAACUGAUCGAAGCCGUUUUGUAAUACAGUAUAUAGAAUAUGGACAAGAAGUGGGUAAGAGCUGUGUGGAGAGAGGAUGAAAAAGAGAUGGAGCUUGCCAUACCCAGUGUAUGGGUUGAAGGAAAUCGCAUAAGAUGGCCAAAUACAUCAAAUGCAAAAUCUGCACUCAAAGAAUGCAAGAAACCUGCUGACAAAUGGCUUUCAUUUGAUCUGAUAAAGAUCAAGUUUUCAUCAGACGACUAUCGAGAAUGUGAGGACUAUGAUGAGACGACAGCGGUGGAAUCUGAGUGUGACUCAGAACCAGUAAUGAAAAGGAAACCAAAAAAGAAGGUCAUGAGUGACUUUAUUAUGGAUUCUGCUGAAGACAAUUCAUCAAUAAAAAUGCAGAAGAAGUUACCUGUAGCAGCACCAGUUAUGCCGCCAAAACCACCCCAAAAAAUCUCUUCUAAAAAAAACCAAGACCAGUCAUCACUUCAGUCGUCCAGGUCUCGAUCACCUUCACCUUCUACUAGAGAUGAAAUGGAAACCAGACGUAGCAGGUCUAUUACACCAAGCAAGUCCUGGGCUAGUUCAAACAGUCGGGAGAGCUCGAUGAAUAGGUCGAUGUCACCAAGAAGUCCCAUUCGCUCAACACAAAGGUCCAGAAUUUCAACAUCCAGAAGUCCAAUUCGCUCAACACAAAGGUCCAGAAUUUCAACAUCCAGAAAAGUCCAAUUCGCUCAACACAAAGGCCCAGAAUUUCAACAUCCAGAAGUCCAAUUCGCUCAACACAAAGGUCCAGAAUUUCAACAUCCAGAAGUCCAAUUCGCUCAACACAAAGGCCCAGAAUUUCAACAUCCAGAAGUCCAAUUCGCUCAACACAAAGGCCCAGAAUUUCAACAUCCAGAAGUCCAAUUCGCUCAACACAAAGGCCCAGAAUUUCAACAUCCAGAAGUCCAAUUCGCUCAACACAAAGGCCCAGAAUUUCAACAUCCAGAAGUCCAAUUCGCUCAACACAAAGGCCCAGAAUUUCAACACCCAGAAGUCCAAUUCGCUCAACACAAAGGCCAAGAAUUUCAACAUCCAGAAGUCCAAUUCGCUCAACACAAAGGUCACGAAUCUCAAGGUCCAGGAGUCCUGUUCACUCUUUGAACAGCUCAAGAUUUUCAAGAUCAAAAAGCAGAGACAGGCAUCACAAUAGGUCAAGGCACUCUAUGUCACAAAGCAGUGAAAGGUCAACCCUGAGAAGAGAAAGCCCAAAAAGACUUAACAAAGGAUCUGAACAUUCCAGGAGCUAUGAUAGGCCUUGUAGCAGGUUAAGUGUAGAGAGCACCCCAACACUUCCAUCUCUUUCUAAGCGAAAGCAGCAUCAGUCCUCAACAGACUCCUUUCCCAUGACCGAAGAAAGAUUUCAGAGAAGAGUCCUCUACCUUCUUGUUGAAAUAAGAGACCUUCUUAAGAGUCCAGUAACAACAGCUUCAAAUACAGAAGACGUUGAUCUUGUUACCAUAGACUCAGAAGAAGGAUUUGAAGCCUUAGACAGAAGACUUGAAAACAGGGACUUUAAAGCCAGCUUUAAAUUCUUGCUUCAAAAGAUUGGAGGUACAGAUGGUACUGACCACAUGAAGAAAGCAAUGUUAAGAACUAUGACAAACUCGUACAUGGCUGGUCUAAACAUGAAGGGAAAACGGGGAAAGAAAGCUUUUGGUUCCUCCCAACUCUACCUCCUUAUAAAAGAAACUGUAUUGACAUCUCAUACACAGUAUACAGAAUCAAAAUUCAAUGAAGAUUUGGCUAAAUUCCUAAAAUAUGCCCCGGAGCGUGUGGGAGGAGGUGGAAGAAGGAGAAGAGAUUGACUGUUUUUCACGUUCACUUGACCAGAACUAAUGAUUUUACUCUUUUUCAUCUUCUUAAACUAAUGUUUUUGUGAAAAGCUGGCUACAGAUGUGAGCUAGGUUAUCCAUCAGUGAUUUUAAGCGAUACUUUCAAUUUAUUUAACUGUUUCUCUCUUGAAUAAAUUGAUUAAUGAU
rnacentral:sRNA from 1 species